rfam:Camelus ferus unplaced genomic scaffold scaffold457, whole genome shotgun sequence.
GAGGGUAUAGCUCAGUGGUAGAGCACCUGCUUAGCAUGCACAAGGUCCCGGGUUCAAUCCUCAGUACCUCUG